rnacentral:rRNA from 1 species
GGUACACGCUGUGACUAGCAUAUCAAUAAGCGGAGGAAAAGAAACUAACAAGGAUUCCCCUAGUAACGGCGAGUGAAGCGGGAAGAGCUCAAAUUUGAAAUCUUAAGGGGUUUCCCUUUACGAAUUGUAGUUUAAAGAAGUGUUUUCUGUUGAGGUUUUGGUAAAAGUUCUUUGAAUAGGACAUCAUAGAGGGUGAGAAUCCCGUAUUUGACCUUUACUUUCAACUUUGUGAUACACUUUCAAAGAGUCGGAUUGUUUGGGAAUGCAGUCCAAAAUGGGUGGUAAAUUUCAUCUAAAGCUAAAUAUUGGCGAGAGACCGAUAGCGAACAAGUACCGUGAGGGAAAGAUGAAAAGAACUUUGAAAAGAGAGUUAAACAGUACGUGAAAUUGUCAAAAGGGAAGCGUUUGACACCAGUGUUGUUUUUCUGAAAAUCAAUUAAAGAACUGUUUAUGCUAAGUUGUUUAGACUUUAUCAGCUAACUGUUUAGUUUUGAGCUUUUCUUUAAUGCACUUUUCAGUUAACAAGUCAACAUCAAUUUCUUUUGCUGUAAAAAAGCUUGAGGAAGGUGGCUUGAGAUUCGUCUUAAGUGUUUAUAGCCUCUUGCCUAUGCAGUCGGAGAGAUUGAGGUCUGCAGCGUAGAUCCUUCGGGGCUAAAUGCAUUUGUGCUAAGUUAUAGCAUUUCAUAGACAACUUGUUGACUAUGAUUUGUCUUGUAGCUUACUCGCUUAUGUUAUUUUACCUACGCUUAGGAUGUUGACAGCAGUAUAGACUGU